UUCAAAACAUGCUUCAUUGCACUGGUUAUAAUAAUUAGCUUACAAAGUCCCGAGUUUCAAAUAAGGAUACGUGUAGACAUAACCUGAAAUGAAUACAAUCUAGUGCUGUCACAAUGACUCAACUAUAAGUAACUUCGGGAGUGAGUGUCAAAUAAGAAUAUGGAUCAUGCCAAUUCAUGAGCAUGUGAACAUUGUCUGUGAUGUUUAUGAAGCGACCAAAUAUAUGAAGAAAUAUACAAAUACGAGAAACACAUCAGGCCAGAAGCUAAACUAGCAAAACAAAGUCGGAGAAAUCAACAACAAACAGGCUUUUACGAUGAAACGUAAACAGCAAUUGGUUUAUCUACACCUGAAUAACAGUAGGAAAAAAACCUAAAAGAACAUGCAUAUAUGCAAAAGCACAAACAAAACAAGCAUGGAAUACACUCUAAUCUAACUAUUGCUCAUUCAAACAGUUAUCAUGUACUAAGAGUCAAAUUGCAUAUUGUUUCUUUUAUUAAAAAAAAAAGGCAAAUUAAUCCUCGUACAUUUGAUCAAAGAGAAAACUAGUCCUUUUGAUUACAAAUUUCAUCCAUUUUGACUGUUAUAAACUAUCGUGGCUGACAAAAUAAUCCAUAUACCUCAUUCUGACAUUCGAGAACUAGUUUCUAACAGUAGAAAUGGAUAAAAAUUUUAACAGGCUAUAAAGUGACAUCAGUGGGAAUAUAUGUAUUUUUUUCAAAGUCCCAGUUUGCUUUUACAUAAAAGGAACUCAAAGCCCUUGCGCAAAUUUCCCAGAACUCAUCACUUGGCACAAAAAAAAUCAGUAGUAACAAAGUUUAGACGUUUGAACUUAUUAGGUUCAUCAUUCCCAGCUAAAAAGGACAUAUAUAAUGGUCAUACAACAAAAUGUGAAAAAAGAAACUAAAAACAGUCAUAAAAAUGAAACAAAUCAAAGUAUUUACAGUCAUAAGAAGAGGUAAAGCAGAAAUGAUAUUACAUUAUACCAUUCCAUGAGAAUAGAAAUCAAAGACCAAUCAUAAACACUAGCUGUAAACCUAAUCCAUUACGAGUACAUUCAAACUACAAAUUACAACUACAUGUCCAAGCAACCACAAAAUGUAGAAUCAAACUAAUACAGAAGACGGAUUAUGAACGGGAUCAAAGUAUAGAAUCAAACAAUUACAUCACAAACAAAGAACUGGAACAAUCUAGACUAGAGCUGACUAACCUAUCUUAAAACUCACACAUGGAAAUAGCACACAGUGAGACAGACACAUAUAAUUGUGCAUGGUGAGUCUCAAACCUAUAUACUCAAGACUCAAGGUCUCCGCCUUUGCCAACUGUGCCAAGACGGCAAGGCCGCAUUGGCAACCUAAUCCAUUUCUCAAAUCUAAGUUAUUUAGUUAAAUGCCUAAAACCAUGAAUUGAAUCCAAUAGACUACCAUUAGAGGAAAUAUGCCAUAUAAUAUCAAGGUUCCAUUUUUCUUUUGCAUGUAGGGAACUCGAAGCCCUUGCACAAAUUCCCCCAACAAUAAUCACUUGGCACUCAAAAGCAGUAUUAUAACAGAGUUUAAAGCGUGGUCAUACAAUAAAAAAUGCAACACUAAGUAAAAACAUAUGCAUACAAAAUGUCCCAAACAUCACUUGGCAAAAAACCCAUGUAAAGGUAUCAACCGUAUUUCAAAUCUAAGUUCUUGAGCUAAGAGCCUAAAACCCAUUUAAAUGAUAAAAAAAAAAAAACACAAACACAAAUAUAUAAUGGAAAACAGCUCAAACGGAUUAAAACUAUAUAAGUUGCCAUCAGAGGGAAUGUGUAUUUUUUUUUUCAAAGUCCCAUUUUGGUUUCGCAACGAAGGAACUCAAAGCCCUUGCGCAAUUUUCCCAAAAAUCAUCACUUGGCAGUAUCAAAGUUAAGAUUUUUUAACAAUCAUAGCAAAUAAGGAAUAAACAGACUGAUAAAAGAGAAUACUUUAGAGGAGAAAAGUCGAAGGAGGCGGCAACCAUAGAAA
rnacentral:lncRNA from 1 species